GCACUCUCAUUAAAGACGCGAUAGGAAUGGAACUUUGCUCAGAUACUACACCACCGCGGUGGUUAACACAAGGUUAUUUUGAUCAUCAUUUAUUCAAGACUGUCGAUUUGAAUCGACAUCAACUUCAUCUAUCUAUUGCUCAAAACAAUACAAAGUCAGCAACAAGUCCAGUUUACUUGUACAUGAAUUUGAAAUGCGUAUUUGGC
rnacentral:misc_RNA from 1 species